CGGGAACGGACCUAGUCUUGUUUAUAAAUCUUAACGUGGCGUUCGACCCUGAGCCAGCUCUCCCUCAGCCACCCGCUGAAAAAUCAACACAAACAUGCCAAGGUAAUAACAUGCCGAUUGAGUGCCAAGACCAGGAAUAUGUAAGGCAAGCUCUGAAACUGAACAGUUCCCUUCUUGGGAGGAGUUGAGUGAUGGGACCUGAGACAAAAAUGAGCAUGGAAGAUGUUUAAAGGGGGAAAACAUCUAAAGGAAAUGAAAUGAACUGGCUGCUGAAGUUCUUGAAGUUCGGGCACAGGAACCCCAUGGGAACCAGUUCGUAGGUUGCAAGUACAGAAUAGAAUUCUUCGAAUCAAUGAGUUGCAGUGAGCUAUUUGAAGUCAUAAAGACCUGAUUUCAAAUCCCAGGCUUGCCACUGACCAGAGACCUGACUCCAGGCUCUCAACUAUCCCUUAGAGAUAGAUCCAAAAAUGCUACAAAGGAAAUAUUCAUGAGAAGAAUUUAAAGUUCCUAAACCACAUGUGAUUUACACCCACCAGUUUUGAGAAUGUUUCCUCACUUUCACAAGGAAGUUUGUACCUCAGCUGAUUUCUGUAGCCGGUUGCUGGCAUCAAGCAAACGAAGUUUGAGGUCUCUGAGUUGAAAAACGGAGGGGAUGUGUCCUGUGAGAUGAGUACGUUGAUUGCCAACACCUUCUGGAAGGAGUUCCUGGUUCUGUGGGCAACCAGCCGUUUG